AAAUGCCAGUGCCCAAGCACGGUAAGACUACCAAGUGUAAAUGGAAGAAAAUCAGGGAGUGAAGCUCUUGGGAUUUUGGGUGAGCCCAUAUGUUCUAAGAGUGAAGUGGGCACUGAAACUGAAGGGGAUAGAGUAUGAAUACAUUGAAGAAGACGUAUUCAACAAGAGCCCUUUACUUUUGAAGCUGAAUCCUGUUAAGGGACAAGUUCCUGUGCUAGUUCAUGAUGGAAAACCAAUACCAGAGUCAAUUGUAAUCCUGGAAUAUAUUGAUGAAGUGUGGAAACAUAGUCCGUUGUUGCCUCAAGAUCCUUAUGAAAGAGCCAAUUCUCGUUUCUGGGCUAAAUUUGCUGCAGAAAAGCUUCAAGCAUAUGCAUGGGAAGCUCUAUGUUCAAGAGGUGAAGACCACGAAAGAGCCAAAAAAGCAGCUAUGGAGGCCUUGGAGAAGAUGGAAAAGGAGCUAAAUGGGAAAAAGUUUUUUGGAGGAGAUAAAAUUGGUUUUGUAGACCUUGUGGCUGGCUUCAUUUCUUACCAACUCCCCGUGUACGAGGAAAUUGUUUCGAUGAAAAUUCUUGACUCGUCAAAAUUCCCAGCUAUCACAAACUGGAUCAAUAAUUUUCUCAACCACCCCUUGAUUAAGGAAGAGUUGCCACCAAAGCAUAAGAUGCUUGCUUACUUUUCCAACCGACGCAACGUUAUACUGGUUCAGAAUUCAUCAAACGAGUGAUCAAGAACUAAAACAUACAAGAAAUGAAGGAAGAAAUUAGGCAUAACAAAAUGGAGAAGUGUUGGAAGAAAGCUAGAAGAAAAAGAAAACAACUAGUGGUUGACGAGAGUCACGCGACUGAUGAGGGUCAACUGCAUUCUACUGUUCUUCCUUCAUCUCCUCAGCAGGUAUUAUGCACUUUUACAUCUCUGCUGUUUAUGUCAGACAAGCUUAUGGAAGGUGAGGCAUGACUAAUUUGUUCAUUGUUGGGUCCAUUGGCUUUCACUUUCAAUUUCUUGAAAGGAAAAUUGCUAUGGUCUGUUUAUCUCUGCAAUGGAACAGCAACCUUGAUGGCUUUUCAAGAGCCAAAACUGAUUACUGAUGGUCGCAAUCUACCAUUGCAUUAAAAUCUAGAUGACACAUCACAAACUUUUGUUGCUUUUGAUAUUUUCAAUUUUUGGGGAUGAUAGAGGUUUUGUGUUGCAUUUUAUGGAGGUUAUUAUAAUAGGCGCUAUGGCGAUUCAGUAGAAUUUCCAGUUCCCUUAGGUUACAGUCCUUCUCUACUCUCUAGAGAUCUUUAGGCGCCGUAUUGAUAUUUUGUGUUGAUAACUGAUAAAGCUCCCAAUCCAACCUCAACCUAUGAAGAAUUAUAAGGAAAGGGAACUUUUCAAAGUUCAUACCUCUUAUUGUGAUUACAUAAAAAGGCGUUGAUAGUUUCAACAGUCAAUAAUCCAACAAUACCGGUUGAAAAAUGGUUAUAAAUGGAUCAUCAAAAAGUUGGCAACAAUGAUAAUUACAUUGGUGGUUUUAACACUGUAAAGUGUAAAACGUGGAUCUGGAAUCAGAUUUAUGAUGGAUAGGGAGUUCUUAUCAUAAAAUGCUGAAUGAGAAGCAGACACUAUUUAGUAGUACUUUUGUUGUCAUCAAAGCUAAUGUCCUCUGGCUUUAUGCUGAAGAGGGUGUUGAUCUUGUGAUAAAAGGUACUUCUGGUGAACAAAUUCAAGAUUUCCAUGACAAGACUAGUAAGAACAUCAAGAGUCCAAGAUGCAAGUUUCUUUCCCUCUGUAUUGUCCUUCAGCACUGAAAUUGAAAUUGUGUUCUAUUGGUUUCUCAUUAGAUUAAUAGCUUUUAUUUUGGUAUGUCUAUACAGGAUAUGGCAACUCCGCCUCCAAAGCACAGAUAUCUGACUUGAAGAUCAAGUGCAGUCCCAAACCAAUGUGCAAGUUGUACGGCUUCCCCCAGAUAUUUACUUCAGAACCAAAUGGGAACUCCCAAAACAUGUUUUGUCACGGAAAAGAGGAGUCUGCUAGAGGCAAAAAAGUACGCCCCAUUCAGCAAGCAGAGAGAUACUGGCUUUUGAACAUUGUACUUCAGAAUUCCCUCGGCAAAUCAGGCCUGAUCAUGUACUACAAGUCUCAACUGAAUCAGAAGACUCCUCUGCUUCAAUUGGGAAGGACAGGCUAGAAGUGGAAUCUGUGUAAUCUUUAUUGUAGCUAAGAAUAACUGCAAACAUUUGGAGAAUUAGUCUAUGCAGCAAAGUAACUUGGGGUACGGGAGAGACCGCCUAAACAACAUAGAUUAAGUUCGUAUUGUACCUUUCCUUUUAUUUGAAGUUAUUUCAUG